UACGUAGGCAGCAAGCGUUGUUCGGAGUUACUGGGCGUAAAGGGUGUGUAGGCGAUUCACUAAGUUCGGUGUGAAAUCUCCCGGCUUAACUGGGAGGGUGCAUUGAAAACUGGUGGGCUUGAGUAUGGGAGAGGUAAGCGGAAUUCCUGGUGUAGCGGUGAAAUGCGUAGAUAUCAGGAGGAACACCUGUGGUGUAGACAGCUUACUGGACCAUCACUGACGCUGAAACACGAAAGCGUGGGUAGCAAACAGG
rnacentral:rRNA from 1 species